UACGUAGGUGGCAAGCGUUGUCCGGAUUUAUUGGGUUUAAAGGGUGCGUAGGCGGUUUUGUAAGUCAGUGGUGAAAUACUCCAGCUUAACUGGAGGGGUGCCAAUGAUACUGCAGAACUUGAGUACAGAUGAGGUAGGCGGAAUUGACAGUGUAGCGGUGAAAUGCAUAGAUAUCGUCAAGAACACCGAUAGCGAAGGCAGCUUACUGGGCUGUAACUGACGCUGAGGCACGAAAGUGUGGGGAUCAAACAGG
rnacentral:rRNA from 1 species